AGCUGAAAUGGCCAUACUUAUAACUGUUCCGGUGGGUAUGUACCUCAGAGAUAUGAAGACAAAUGGGACAUAUGCAGACCACAUAAUUCUGCAGGCAUUAUCAGAUAUGCUCGGAAUAACAAUACGAGUUGUUCAUGCUGACACAGCGGAUGUAGCUCUGAACCCGAAUGAUUCCACUGCUUCACAGUUACUUCUAGGCUACCUUCCACAUAUACAACAUUAUGUCAGUCUAGAACCAAGGUAAGACCAGAUGAUUUUGUGGCUGUGUACAUAUCUUCAAAUAAGAAGAAGCACUCCUAUGUAGCCAAAGUGAUAAAUAUUGAUGACACUGAGGUACGUUUACGUUUCCUCGCACAAAAGAGAGACAGCAUAUUUGUCGGGCCAAAUACUGAAGAUGUAAGUUGGCAAGCCAAAAUAGAGAUUGGACGUAGACUGACGUCACCAUUGUUGGCUGGUGGCAGGGGAAAACGAUUACAAUUCAAUUCCGAAGAAAUCAAAGAGUGCUCAAAUGUGUCGAAUUAGAAAUAAACAUAAACAGAGAUUUUGUAUGCAAAUGAAAUAUUAUAGAACAAUUCUAAAUGUUAAUUUUGUUAGGACAAUGAUUAUGUCCCAAGUCACAUGCAGUUUAGUAUUAUCUAGAAUCUAUAUUCUACCUAAAAAGAGCUAACAUGGAUUGUACAUAUGCUUUUUUAGACUAAGAAGUUGUUGAUUUAUUGAAGAAUAGUUUAAAACUGUUAAAUAUUACAGUUUUACAUACAUAUAUACAUUUGGAAAGACAUAAAACUAUUCUACACCAUGUAUAAUUAUUAUUGAAUAAUAUUGGUAUAUAAAAAUGAGCCAUAAUACAAUAUCUAAAUGUAGAGCACAAUAUGUAUGCAUGGUGUAGACCAAUUUUAUGUCUUUCAAAAUGCCAACUUGUAUGAAUACAGAAUGCAUAUACAUCACUAUGUAUGCCAUAAUUUAAAUUAGUCUUAUUUUCUUUUUAUUAAAUGUAUACGCGUUUUAUGUUUGUUUCUUUCAGAAUCGAAAACAAAUACUUGAACAUGUGAGCACUAUCAUAAUAAUUUAACUCAUAUAUUUGCCAGAAACAUGUUUUAUCCUUGGAGUUAGCUUUUUAUUAUGUUGUGUAACAACGAAACAAUUAAGACAAAGACAAAACAGGUGCAAAGUUUGGUGACAUUCCGUGUAUUGUAUAAAAUUGUUUAAAAUCAGUGGAAUCAAACUUGAGUUCAUGUAAUUGUUUCAAUAAUAUCUGAUGCAAGCUGAAUGCAUCGCAUGUUUGAUAAUAAUAUUCUAAGUGUACUUCUGUACUUGCAAGAAUUCUAUCUUAUGGACGCAACGUUCUAUUCUUAGCAAUAACCGGUAUUUCAACAGCUUCCCAAGGUGAAUAUCCAUACAGUGUUGUCAAGAAAAUUAAAGGAGACGAAAACAGAUCUUUCAAGCAUUAGUUCUUGUAAUACGUGAUUGAAAUGUAACUUUUUUGAGUGAAUUCUAAGAAAGCAUAUCAGUUAUCAUGCGCCGUACCUUGGGUCUUUGUUAUUCAGUAAUUACGGAUGAUUUUAAAUAAAAUGUAUAUUUUUAAUUAUAUAAAGUUGUGUAUAUUGUUUGCGUCAAAUGAUUAAUGUUUAUAUUUUAUUCUAUUUACUAUAAAUCAUUACUUAUUACUAUAUAAUGUUAGUCAUGAACCGACCUAUGACCGCAAGAAAAAAACUUUAUGAUGCUCAUGUCCAUUUGUGUUUUGUGUUUUGUUUAAUGACGAAAUAUACAAUUUUAAAUUAUUAACUAAUUUAAAAAAUAGUUAUUUAUUAACAAAUCCACAAUAUAUAUGUUAAUGUGAUCCUUACUAGACAUUAGUAUUUUAAUAAGAGCUUUCAAAUAAUUUGCAGAUUUUGAUAACUGCUCUUCAAAUGUACCAUAAGUAGGAUCGGUAAGAUAACAAUACAAGGCGGCAGAUUUGUUUUGAAACUAUAAUUGUUAAAAGCAUGCAGUUGAAUGAAUACUUGUAUCGUUAACACGUUGAGU